rnacentral:rRNA from 1 species
AGCGAACGCUGGCGGCGUGCCUAACACAUGCAAGUCGAACGUGAAAAGGGGCAACCCUGAGUAAAGUGGCGUACGGGUGAGUAACGCGUAGGUAAUCUACCCCAGAAUCCGGAAUAACCGGCCGAAAGGCUGGCUAAUACUGGAUAGAGCGAUGGAAUCCGUAAUUGGGUUUUUCGGGAAAGGGAGGAGCAAUCCCCUUCGUUCUGGGAUGAGCCUGCGUCUCAUUAGCUAGUUGGCGGGGUAAUGGCCCACCAAGGCUUUGAUGAGUAGCUGGUCUGAGAGGAUGAUCAGCCACACUGGAACUGAAACACGGUCCAGA